rnacentral:rRNA from 1 species
CGACUAGCCUACGGGUGGCUGCAGUGGGGAAUUGUUCGCAAUGGGCGCAAGCCUGACGACGCAACGCCGCGUGGAGGAUGAAGGUCUUCGGAUUGUAAACUCCUGUUGCCCGGGACGAAAAGCUCCGACCUAACACGUCGGAGUCUGACGGUACCGGGUGAGGAAGCCCCGGCUAACUCUGUGCCAGCAGCCGCGGUAAUACAGAGGGGGCAAGCGUUAUUCGGAAUUACUGGGCGUAAAGGGCGCGUAGGCGGCCUGCUAAGUCGAACGUGAAAUCCCUGGGCUCAACCCAGGAACUGCGUCCGAUACUGGUUGGCUUGAAUCCGGGAGAGGGAUGUGGAAUUCCAGGUGUAGCGGUGAAAUGCGUAGAUAUCUGGAGGAACACCGGUGGCGAAGGCGACAUCCUGGACCGGUAUUGACGCUGAGGCGCGAAAGCCAGGGGAGCAAACGGGAUUAGAUACCCUAGUAGUCC